GACAGAGGGUGCAACCGUUGUUCGGAAUUACUGGGCGUAAAGCGUGUGUAGGCGGCUUUGCAAGUCGGAUGUGAAAGCCCCGGGCUCAACCCGGGAAGUGCACUCGAUACUGCAGAGCUUGAGUGUCGGAGAGGUUGGUGGAAUUCUCGGUGUAGAGGUGAAAUUCGUAGAUAUCGAGAGGAACACCGGCGGCGAAGGCGGCCAACUGGACGAACACUGACGCUGGGACACGAAAGCGUGGGGAGCAAACAGG
rnacentral:rRNA from 1 species